UCUAUUUAUGAUAGCCUUAGCGGUUGUGUUAGAGGCUGGAUCACUGACAAUCCAGCUAAACUUAAAAGUGUGCGGACUUCGAGAAGCACGGAGGAGAGGCGCGCACGCGCGCACGCACACACCUUUCCUUCUCUGCCUCGUCAGGCCCCUGUGGGAGCCGCGCGAACCCUCCGAGGGCGCGGCCGGGAGUCCUCGGUUGGAGACGCGGACACUUCUGGCCUUCGGCGGCCGCCGUCGUUCCCAGGAUCUCGCGAGAGCGCGGAGCCGCCGCGCGCGUUGAUGACGUUUGGCGAGCGCCCUGGUCGCUUUCGGAGAUCAGUCCUUCAGGUUUUGAAUCUCCAUCCAUAAGAGGAUCACUGGGAGGAAGGAAGAAGAGGUGCCUGGUUUGGGGACUAUUUUGACAGAAGUCUGAACAAAAUUGGUGCUGAUCCAGUAAACACAGAGACAGAGCAUCUCUGCUUCUGGCAGUGUCCUAAGGAACAAAGAAAAUGAUCAAUGCUCAGAACUCAGUGACACCCAGCGAUGUGGCUAUAAAGUUCACCUGGGAGGAGUGGCAGCUUCUGGACCCUGCUCAGAAGACCCUCUAUCAGGAUGUGAUGUUGGAGACCUACCGCCACCUGGUUUCCAUCGGUUAUGAAGUUAGCAAACCUGAUGCGUUCUCUUGGAUGGAACGAGGAGAACCACCAGGAUUCGUAUUAGAAAAAAGCUGUGGUGGGAUGUGUUCAGAAAUCUGGAAAGGCCAUGGCCAUUCCCGUGGAUGCACACAGCAAGAAAGAAGAGUGGACGGAAUGGAACAGUGCUGCGAAUAUGAGGCCUUGGAAAGGGAUCAUC